AUGAACGCUGGCGGCGUGCCUAAUACAUGCAAGUCGAGCGAACAGACGAGGAGCUUGCUCCUCUGACGUUAGCGGCGGACGGGUGAGUAACACGUGGAUAACCUACCUAUAAGACUGGGAUAACUUCGGGAAACCGGAGCUAAUACCGGAUAGUAUAUUGAACCGCAUGGUUCAAUAGUGAAAGACGGUUUUGCUGUCACUUAUAGAUGGAUCCGCGCCGCAUUAGCUAGUUGGUAAGGUAACGGCUUACCAAGGCGACGAUGCGUAGCCGACCUGAGAGGGUGAUCGGCCACACUGGAACUGAGACACGGUCCAGACUCCUACGGGAGGCAGCAGUAGGGAAUCUUCCGCAAUGGGCGAAAGCCUGACGGAGCAACGCCGCGUGAGUGAUGAAGGUCUUCGGAUCGUAAAACUCUGUUAUUAGGGAAGAACAAAUGUGUAAGUAACUAUGCACGUCUUGACGGUACCUAAUCAGAAAGCCACGGCUAACUACGUG
rnacentral:rRNA from 1 species